UUACUCUAAAAUGGAGUAACUAAU
rnacentral:snRNA from 1 species